UACGAGUGCCCCAAGCGUUAUCCGGAAUCAUUGGGCGUAAAGGGUGUGUAGGCUGUCUUGUUAGUCUUCUGUGAAAUUCUUCGGCUCAACCGGGGGUCCGCAGAAGAAACGGCAAAACUAGAGGAUGUGUGAGGUGAAUGGAACUCAUGGUGUAGGGGUGAAAUCCGUUGAUAUCAUGGGGAACACCAAAUGCGAAGGCAAUUCACUGGCACAUUCCUGACGCUGAAACACGAAAGCGUGGGUAGCGAAUGGG
rnacentral:rRNA from 1 species